rnacentral:pre_miRNA from 1 species
GUGUUCUCGAGAGUUCCCUUGACCACUUCAUAAGGGAUUAAUAUCUUUGUUUUUGAUUCCUUGCUGAAGUGUUUGGGGGAACUCCCGGGUUCAU